GACAGACUCUAAAUUCCCAGAUUUUCAAGCAGGGUCAGAAAGAGCAUCUACUCAUGCAGUCACAGCAAUUGCUGGCGCUAAUAUAAUUUAUGAAUCU
rnacentral:ncRNA from 1 species